rnacentral:rRNA from 1 species
GGUGGAAAGGUUUUCCGGUGCAGGAUGGGCCCGCGGCCUAUCAGCUUGUUGGUGGGGUAACGGCCCACCAAGGCGACGACGGGUAGCCGGCCUGAGAGGGCGACCGGCCACACUGGGACUGAGACACGGCCCAGACUCCUACGGGAGGCAGCAGUGGGGAAUAUUGCACAAUGGGCGCAAGCCUGAUGCAGCGACGCCGCGUGAGGGAUGACGGCCUUCGGGUUGUAAACCUCUUUCAGUACCGACGAAGCGCAAGUGACGGUAGGUACAGAAGAAGCACCGGCCAACUACGUGCCAGCAGCCGCGGUAAUACGUAGGGUGCGAGCGUUGUCCGGAAUUACUGGGCGUAAAGAGCUCGUAGGCGGUUUGUCGCGUCGUCUGUGAAAACCCGCAGCUCAACUGCGGGCUUGCAGGCGAUACGGGCAGACUUGAGUACUGCAGGGGAGACUGGAAUUCCUGGUGUAGCGGUGAAAUGCGCAGAUAUCAGGAGGAACACCGGUGGCGAAGGCGGGUCUCUGGGCAGUAACUGACGCUGAGGAGCGAAAGCGUGGGUAGCGAACAGGAUUAGAUACCCUGGUAGUCCACGCCGUAAACGGUGGGCGCUAGGUGUGGGUUUCCUUCCACGGGAUCCGUGCCGUAGCUAACGCAUUAAGCGCCCCGC